rnacentral:rRNA from 1 species
AUUGAACGCUGGCGGAAUGCUUUACACAUGCAAGUCGAACGGCAGCACGGGUGCUUGCACCUGGUGGCGAGUGGCGAACGGGUGAGUAAUACAUCGGAACGUGCCCUGACGUGGGGGAUAACUAACCGAAAGGUUAGCUAAUACCGCAUACGUCCUGAGGGAGAAAGCGGGGGACCGUAAGGCCUCGCGCGUUAGGAGCGGCCGAUGGCGGAUUAGCCAGUUGGUGGGGUAAAGGCCUACCAAGGCGACGAUCCGUAGCUGGUCUGAGAGGACGACCAGCCACACUGGAACUGAGACACGGUCCAGACUCCUACGGGAGGCAGCAGUGGGGAAUUUUGGACAAUGGGGGCAACCCUGAUCCAGCCAUUCCGCGUGAGUGAAGAAGGCCUUCGGGUUGUAAAGCUCUUUCGGCAGGGACGAAACGGCGCCGGAUAAUACCUGGCGUCAAUGACUGUACCUGAAGAAGAAGCACCGGCUAACUACGUGCCAGCAGCCGCCGUAA